rnacentral:lncRNA from 1 species
CCCUGAUGGAAAUGAAGAAUGCAUGACCAGGACAGUGGAGGAUGGCCCUGAUGGAAAUGAAGAAUACAUGACCAGGACAGUGGAGGACGGCCCUGACGGGAAAUGGAAGAUGUGGUGGAAAUGAAGAAUAAAUGCUGCUCCAUCCUACAAAGAAUGUCCACUGUGUUGUUACCAGAUGCUGAGACGGUACAACCUGCUGACUGAUGCAUACCAUAUCAUCAGCCUUGGAUACAAGUUCCUACUCACCCUCUCAGUUACCCAGGUAGAUCCUACUCACCCUCUCAGUUACCCAGGUAGUUCCUACUCACCCUCAGUUACCCAGGUAGAUCCUACUCACCCUCUCAGUUACCCAGGUAGAUCCUACUCACCCUCAGUUACCCAGGUAGUUCCUACUCACCCUCAGUUACCCAGGUAGUUCCUACUCACCCUCAGUUACCCAGGUAGAUCCUACUCACCCUCUCUGUUACCCAGGUAGUUCCUACUCACCCUCUCAGUUACCCAGGUAGAUCCUGCUCACCCUCUGUUACCCAGGUAGUUCCUACUCACCCUCUCAGUUACCCAGCUAGAUCCUACUCACCCUCUGUUACCCAAGUAGUUCCUACUCACCCUCUCAGUUACCCAGGUAGUUCCCACUCACCCUCUCAGUUACCCAGGUAGAUCCUACUCACCCUCUCAGUUACCCAGGUAGCUUGUGAAUGAAGUUUCUCUACCUUAAAGUAUAUCAAGAGCAGGGGCUGGUAGUGAUGUAGCUAGGUGGUUGUAUUAGGGGUAGUGAUGUAGCUAGGUGGUUAUAUUAGGGGUUGUGAUGUAGCUAGGUGGUUAUAUUAGGGGUUGUGGUGUAGCUAGGUGGUUAUAUUAGGGGUUGUGGUGUAGCUAGGUGGUUAUAUUAGGGGUUGUGGUGUAGCUAGGUAGUUGUAUUAGGGGCUGGUUGUGAUGUAGCUAGGUGGUUGUAUUAGGGGUUGUGAUGUAGCUAGGUGGUUGUAUUAGGGGUUGUGGUGUAGCUAGGUGGUUGUAUUAGGGGUAGUGAUGUAGCUAGGUGGUUGUAUUAGGGGUAGUGAUGUAGCUAGGUGGUUGUAUUAGGGGCUGGUAGUGAUGUAGCUAGGUGGUUGUAUUAGGGGCUGGUAGUGAUGUAGCUAGGUGGUUGUAUUAGGGGUUGUGAUGUAGCUAGGUGGUUGUAUUAGGGGAUGUGAUUUAGCUAGGUGGUUGUAUUAGGGGUUGUGAUGUAGCUAGGUGGUUGUAUUAGGGGUUGUGAUGUAGCUAGGUGGUUGUAUUAGGGGUUGUGAUGUAGCUAGGUGGUUGUAUUAGGGGUUGUGAUGUAGCUAGGUGGUUGAAUUAGGGGUUGUGAUGUAGCUAGGUGGUUGUAUUAGGGGUUGUGGUGUAGCUAGGUGGUUGUAUUAGGGGUUGUGAUGUAGCUAGGUGGUUGUAUUAGGGGUUGUGAUGUAGCUAGGUGGUUGUAUUAGGGGUUGUGAUGUAGCUAGGUGGUUGUAUUAGGGGUUGUGAUGUAGCUAGGUGGUUGUCUUAGGGGUUGUGAUGUAGCUAGGUGGUUGUAUUAGGGGCUGGUAGUGAUGUAGCUAGGAGGUUGUAUUAGGGGCUGGUAGUGAUGUAGCUAGGUGGUUGUAUUAGGGGCUGGUAGUGAUGUAGCUAGGUGGUUGUAUUAGGGGUUGUGAUGUAGCUAGGUGGUUGUAUUAGGGGUUGUGGUGUAGCUAGGUGGUUGUAUUAGGGGUUGUGAUGUAGCUAGGUGGUUGUAUUAGGGGUUGUGAUGUAGCUAGGUGGUUGUAUUAGGGGUUGUGGUGUAGCUAGGUGGUUAUAUUAGGGGCAGGUCAUGUGUGUACAUGCGAGCAUUAUCAGUCCGGCCGUGGUGGAGGAUACGGGGGCCGGUUCUGGUGGGCCGGUCUGGAUCAAAGUCCAGGGCCAUUCCGCCCCUGCUCUGAGACACUUUGUGGAUACGGGCCCUGAAGAGAUAAGCUUUGUGUUAGCAUUAAGCACAAUAGUGAUGGAUCCACCUAUUCAUCCUAUGUUCUUAGGGAAGGCAGCCAUAUUGUAGACCUAUCAGAGUUUUGAAUUAAAAGGCAAGCAAAGGAGGUAGAGGCUCAGGAAAGUGGCUGGGCUUGUUUUCACAUAGAUCCAGAUAGAAAUACAGUAGAAAUUAAACAGUUAUGGCAUACACACAUUCAUCACUUUCUGUGUCUCACGCUCACACACACAUACAAAGAACAGUGUGAGGGUCACAUAGUGUGGUAGAGGGUGCUGACAGUCCAUUUUUUCAGCCUACGUGGG